UGGUGGCGAGUGUAUACCCAAAAGGGAGCCCCAUUACCCCAUGCAUCACCUACCUCGAACUAAUCUCAAAACUACACCCUUUCCGGAGAAGCAGGGCUCUCUUCCGCAUGAUGCCCGUUUUAUCCCGGCCGAGUCAGUUGGUUGGCGACGGGAGCGAGCUGGUCGGGGGAAAGGAAGGAGAGAGGCAGAAGAAAGGCUGCCAAAAAAAUACAAAUAAAAUACGAAUCUCGCCUCCGCUGGAAAAAGGAAAGUGAGCGGCAGACUUUCCUCUGCAAACAAAGACGGCACCAAAAGCUUAUGAGUGCAGCAUGGUUAGUGGGUUGCUCCUCGCCUGAACUCCAUACGAUAUAAAUUAGAUUCCGUUGGUCUCUCGGUUCAAGAGCGAGUUACCGUUACUCAAUUGGUAACCCUGAAUAGAUUCGAGUCCCGGGAAAACAUAACAGUUUGAAGUCGAGUCCCCCGUCCGUCACUAGAGCGCUGUACACUGGCUGUAGGAUUCUACACCACUCCCUUGACGGUUAAAGAAGUACCUGAGCAGUCCUAUAUCACGAAGCACCGCCGCAACGCGUUAUAUUUGAUCACGAACACUGCAGCAGAAGCGAACUUCUUCCUCCAGUACUAUUUUGUCCGCCCGAGGCUACAAUACGUCGAGUUUCCCGGGGAAGCUGUGAAGAAAGCAUGAUUGUGUUUAUUCGUCUGUUAUUAUUAAAUAAUGUGAAACAAUGUUAUUUAUGUUUACUAUUGCGCGAUUGUGUCCAUGAGUAUGUUAUUAAACAAUGUGAAACAAUGUAUGUUUACUGCUUUUUAUUAAAUCAGUAUGGAUGUAAAUAUUGUAAAUAUAUUUGUUAAUAUGAGCAGAAUAUUGUAUAGCCUAUAUACAUUUGUUCAUAUGGGCUGAUUGUUGUAUUUGUUCGUAUGGUUAUAUAAAGUCUGAAGUUUAAAAACA